UCAUGCAGCUGUGAUGGUUUUGGAUCUUGGAGCAGGAGUCAUAAGCAUUUUGCUGCAUUGUCAAGACAAAGCCUGAAAGGAAGAUUGCCAGCUUGUAUUAUGCACCUAGCCUGGAGACAACAUGACACACCUAGUGCCAACAAUAUGCCUAAGCAAGUAGAAGUUCGGAUGCAUGAAAGUCAUUUAAAUCCAGUGGAGCACAGAUCCAGGAACAUAUGUGUGCAGUUCUGCCAGUCCCUCCACAGGAAUCUGCUCCUGACUCUUACUGUGUUUGGUGUUAUCCUGGGUGCAGUGUGUGGGGGUCUUCUUCGCCUAGCAACACCUAUUGACCCUGACAUCAUCAUGUUAAUAGCCUUCCCAGGAGAUAUACUUAUGCGGAUGCUAAAAAUGCUGAUCCUCCCUUUAAUUAUCUCCAGUUUAAUCACAGGACUGUCUGGAUUAGAUGCUAAAGCAAGUGGCCGCCUGGGGACAAGAGCCAUGGUCUACUACAUGUCCACCACUAUUAUUGCUGCUGUGCUGGGCGUGAUUCUGGUCUUAGCCAUCCAUCCAGGGAAUCCAAAACUCAAGAAACAGCUUGGUCAAGGGAAGAAGAAUGAUGAAGUAUCUAGUCUGGAUGCUUUCUUGGAUUUGAUCCGAAACUUGUUCCCUGAAAAUCUGGUUCAAGCAUGCUUUCAGCAGAUCCAAACUGUCACCAAGAAAGUGCUGGUGCCACUACCCGUUGAAGAGCCACCUAAUGUCACUGAUUCUGCUAUUGCUAUGGUGAAUGAAACAGCACCACCUGAGGCCCAAAUGGUCAUUAAGAAGGGACUUGAAUUUAAGGAUGGCAUGAAUGUCCUGGGUUUGAUAGGAUUCUUUAUUGCUUUUGGCAUUGCUAUGGGGAAAAUGGGAGACCAGGCCAAGAUGAUGGUGGAUUUCUUCAACAUCCUGAAUGAGAUUGUAAUGAAAUUAGUAACCAUGAUCAUGUGGUAUUCCCCGUUGGGUAUUGCUUGCCUCAUCUGUGGAAAAAUCAUUGCAAUCAAGGACUUAGAAGUAGUUGCUAGACAACUUGGCAUGUACAUGGUCACUGUGAUUGUGGGUCUUGUCAUCCAUGGAGGGAUCUUCCUGCCUCUGCUCUACUUUGUGAUAACAAGGAAAAGUCCAUUUUCCUUCCUUGCUGGGAUUUUCCAGGCAUGGAUCACAGCACUAGGCACAGCUUCCAGUGCUGGAACAUUACCAGUCACAUUCCGGUGUCUUGAAGAAAAUCUCGGUAUUGAUAAGCGUGUAACAAGGUUCGUUCUUCCUGUUGGAGCAACUAUUAACAUGGAUGGAACUGCCCUUUAUGAAGCUGUGGCUGCCAUCUUCAUAGCACAGAUGAAUGGAAUUGACCUGGAUGGAGGCCAGAUAGUUACUGUGAGUUUGACCGCCACCCUUGCCAGUGUUGGAGCUGCCAGCAUUCCCAGCGCGGGACUUGUCACUAUGCUGCUGAUCCUGACUGCCGUGGGUCUCCCUACCCAGGACAUCAGUUUGCUUGUUGCUGUUGACUGGCUUUUGGACCGGAUGAGAACAUCAGUCAAUGUAGUGGGGGAUUCUUUUGGUGCUGGCAUUGUCUACCACCUUUCCAAGGCAGAACUUGACACCAUUGAUUCCCAUCAUAAAGGGCAUGAAGACAUUGAAAUGAUCAAGACUCAGUCAAUCUAUGACGACAUGAAAAAUCAUAGGGAAAACAACUCAAACCAAUGUGUUUUUGCAGCUCACAACUCAGUCAUGGUAGAUGAGUGCAAGGUACCUUUCACAUUUAUGGAUAUUGAGACAUGUAUAUAGCACUGCAUGCUUUAUUUUAUCUUAUUUUUUAACCUGCAUGUAUUUUUCAAAUUGUUCUGCAAAUAACAAUGUGACAACAAGGUCCAUGAACCCCAGACAUUUUGAAUGUGUUUGAGCAGUUCAAAAGAUGGUUUUUUGCACUCUUCUUAAAACUUGUCAUUUGAUGGGAAAAAAUCAUGUACUUUGUUUACAUAUCAAAAGGCAAGAUGCAGCGUAUUAUGGAAUAUGCCAAGACACAGAGAAUAUGGCAUCACCUUCUAUGGACAUUUACUUAAUUUUCUGUGGCAACAGAGAACUUAAUUGCCAGCCCAAAUGAAGGAUGGCUGCAAUUCAGAUGCAGGUGUUGUCACUUGCUGACUGCCUUCAUGAUAUGCUGUUCAGAGGUCGACACGUUGAAUGCGCUUUAGCAUGAGAAUGCUCCUGCACUCACACAGCAGCUUCUGCUUCUCUUCUGUCACUGUUCCUUCCCAAGGCACUAAGGCACAAACACUCUCUCCCCUCUGUAACCCUUGCUGUAAUUAACAUGCAAUAUUAAUACUAAUAAUGACAUCUUGAUCAGAGUGAAGUGAGCUUGAGCAACCCCACCAGCUGAAUGUGGAGACAGCUCGGGAGGUUAGUGGUUAAAAGUUCGCUAAGAACCCACCACUGGGAUGGAGCUGUUUAAAAUACAGAGAGGGCUUUUGAAAAGGAGGAGAAAAGGUAAAACAAGGUGGAACAUCUAAUUUCAUAGUCUUUUUUUCUAAUUUCACAGUCUUUUUUUUUUUCUCGAGUCUGAUGCUGUACACUGUCUUUGAGACAGUGGGUUUGCCAAUCAGCCUACCUUAGUCAUUUAUCCAAACAGAUUCUCUUGUAUCUUCCAAUUGCCACAACUGAGCCAGUAUCUAACUGUGAAUGACUGCACUAAGUUCAUUAGCAUAUCACCAUUUAUAUGGGAAAUAUAAUCCUAUGCUGUCAUUUUCACUUGUCUCUAGCCUGGCUGGAAAUGUUCUUUAGAAUUACUUUUUUUCCUAAUGCUUACUUCCUGAAAAUGCAGGCCAAACUUGAAUUUUCAGGGGAAAAAUUAAUAUUGAAUUCAGGGGAAAAAACCAAACAGCAUUCAUCCUAUCUUUAAUUUUUGUAAAAUUUUUUCAAGGUUUCAAUGAAGUGAUUUUUUUUUUAAAUCAUACUUUUUUCUGACAUGGCUCUCCCCUUUCUCUUCAGACCCACUCUUUCUCCAUUCGGAAAAUUUAAAAAAUAAGAUCUGAAAUGGAAAGAGAAUGCAUGCUUACACAAAAUUGAAAAUUGUCAUUAAUUUAUAUUUCUAAAAAAGGCAAGGACACAAGAGAUUAAAAUUAGAAGAAAAAAGAAACAUUCUGGAAAGAAAGACAACGAGCAUGUGCGCACACUUUUUGGAUAACUUCUUUUGGAAUUUUUUGAAAACUGUUUUUAAGUUAAAUAGACAAUGCUGGGUUAAAGAUUAUGUUUAUGGAACUGAAUACUGAUAGUUUUAUCAGCUCCCAGUUUCUCAGAUUUGCAGAGAAAUCCAAGUCAAGUUAAAAAGUAGUAGCUUGUUGAUUAAAUCAAUACUUGCUGCACUUUCUUUUCUCCUUCACUUUCUCAUAUAAUUUCCCUUAACUGAGGCAAUAGCUUGUCUCAAAACCAUGGAUUAAUGGUGCUGUGUGUCAUCCCAAGCGCACCCUUUAAUUCAAAUAUGAGACCAGUGAUUUUUUGAUCGAGAAAUGUUUGUUCUUUUUAAUUGUUUUAGGUUUGCUCUGCUUACAGUCUCAGUUUGCACUUUUAAACUCAUGAAAAGAGCCAGGCUUUACCAGAUUGAGCAGAAGACUGACUUUGAGUCUCUUGUCUGUCUGCAAGCUGCCAAAAGGAUGUGUUGUUGUGACCUAAUUGAUGAGCUAUGAAUAUAUGCUGGCACUUGCCAAACAUUGGGAUCAUGUUGAAGUGGUCUACAACUCCCAAGUGUUAGACUUGCAAAGGCAACAGAGAGUAUGAAGGAUCUGGGGCUUUGAAAGAGCCAGUUGUUAAAUUUGAAAAGUCAUCUCUUCAUCCUGUCCAAUGCACUGGUGGGUUGAAAAGCUUACUGCAACUCUGGUCAGGAUAUGGAAAAGCUAAUCUACUAGCAUGCCCUUUCUAUUUACUUUCUGUAAUAUAUUCCAUGUAUAACACCAGUAGUUUAUAAUUUUGCAUGGUCAAUGUACAUCAUUAAUAAGUAGCUUACCUUUGUAUUGGGUUAGAGUGGUUGUUAUUGCAUGAUAUUUUUGUAUUUUUUUAUCAUAUUUCACAUGACUCUCUGUGAUUUUCAUUUCUGAAUAAGCUGUUCAUUCCUGUACUUGCAUGUUUUCCUCUUCCAAUAAUUUAAGAAAAAGCUUGACUUUGUUUCAAAAAUCAGUGCAUUUUGUCAUGUUUCCAUGUCCCAAUGCUUCCAUGCAUCCUGUUUAUCCAGCAUGGGGAAUUUCAGCUCUGUCUUUAAGUUUUCAUUUGAAGCUGAAGAUGUUAACUUACAAGGUAACACUGGCAACCAAUGGCAAAUCUGCAGACUUCAAUGUUGUUGAAGAAGAGCCUUGGAAACGGGAAAACUAAGUGAAGAGAUUCCUAGCUGCAUCCUUAAUAAAUCCUGAAGCUAUCUUGGGGCAGAAGAUACCAUGAUUAAGAAGAUUUCUCUCUCUUUUUUUUUUUCCCUAUUUAACAUCUACAAUUUCUGCUUAAUUUUGUAACUGAAACAUAGCAAAGAUCUCAUCAAGUCAUUGUAGCGUCUUUGCCAAGCAAUGAUCCAUAGCCAUCUGUCUCCCCUGUGUUACUGUUUGGAUGAUGCACCUGGAGAAUGCUCCAUGCAGUGCAAUGUGCUCUCACCCACUUCCCCUUUCUUUCAAGACACAGAGAAUGUAAAUGCUGCAAAAUGGGAAGAUCAAAGUGCCAGUACAGUUCAGUACAGGGACUCAGGGUCACACAUACAAGAGAAACAUAACACCACGUAAGCCUUCAAGUGUUUCGGCGACUCUUGUGGCAUACCUGAUCUGUUUAUCACUGUAUGGCUAAAAUACCUUUUAAAAACAUCCGUAAAGAUUUCCAUUUGUUUUGAUAAUAACAAGCACUGUAUUUUUGUGCCUAGUUGUACUUUAAACUGAGCUUAGAUCUGGGGGCAGGAUUAAUGCAUAGAAGUCAAUAAAUUGUCCCAGACAUUUUGUUAGAUCUGUACAACUAAAACUUAGCAUCAAAAGAAGACCUUCAAUUUCUAUGUGCAUGUGGUGUGUUUUUAUCAGAUGUCCCAGGGCAGGUGCAGCCUUUAUUUUAUGCUGGGGCUGUGCUGCUUUGUGACCACGAUGCCCCAUGCAAUACAAGGCAGUAUAAUUACAGGGGUAGUAGUUCUUUCACUAAAAUCUGUAGCUGAUAUGUAAGAUACAGAAAACCAUGGACUCAGUUGUGCCAUUUUUAAUCAAAGUAGGUGGUACCUUACUGUUCACCCUGCUCCACUGAUGUCAGAGCGGUUUCUCACAUGGAUGAGAUACUCAAGGUACUACUAAGAUUGAUUAUGGAUGUUAUGAUUAAGUACUUGAUAAUGAGCUGCAGACAAGUUCUGAAUCCACUACUCUUACAGAAUUUUUGAAUGUCAGCAUCAGGAGCAUUUGCUAUGAAGUGAAAGCCAUCUUUCAAGUAUGUCAUGUUUCAGAGAGUGGCUAAAUCCUGAAUUCAUUGCUAAACCAAAUUCUGUAUAAAGUUGAGAGAGUUUGUCCAGGGUUAGGACUGAAUGAGAAUGAAACCAGAAUUUCAGGAUUUAGGCCAGUAUGUUGAAUUGCAUCUCUGUCUCUUUUGCAGAGUAAUAAGUAUAUAGCUCUCUCAUGUCAGAGAAAUGUUUCUUUGAGCACAUGGCAUCUGAAUUAAUGAGACAGUGUUUGAUCAACAUACUAUAUCUGACUCAGCCUGUCAAAAGAAAUUGCAGUGAGAAUAAACACCUUGUGAAAUUUUUUUAAAGGUGCUUGUUAAUACUGAGCAAUUUUAAGAUACUGGUGAAUAACAUUAUGCUGUUAGCAGUGUUCCACAGCAAAGCUGAGCCACUGUGAUCUUGGAAGGUUCUUCUCACAGAACAAGCUUUGUGCAAUUUUGGGGGGAGCUCUCAGAAGUUUUCAGAAUGAAUCAUAAUAUAAGCAUUUGAUGAACCUAAAAAUGGCAAAAAACAGAGUUCAAACAUUUAUGGAAAUAGGCCAUUCAGACCUGUCAUGGGUUUAAAGGGGAAUAAUGUGUUUAACUGUAGAGUGCUAUUUGGCUCUGUAGAAGCUAUUAAAGUAAAAAUAUAAUCUGCUUUUGCUCAUCUGCAUUCAUAUCAAUAUCUCUGAAACUGCACACGGACCUAAGCCAGCCAAGGCUACUUGCAUGAGUAAUGAUGUGCAAGAUCAAGUCCAUUGUCAGGGUAUCCCUCAUUUAAGCAUUUAUCUUGGAAUAUUUUUCUUACCACUGUUUUUUUGUCAUCACUUGAAUGCCAUGGCCAAGCAAAUCCUAAGCAAAAUGGCCUAUAUAAUUUAACCAAUAUUGAACCACUGUGAAUUCUGUAGGCCUCUAACAUGUAUUAGAGGGGGAGGCCUUUCCCAAAGGCCUCCUGACAGAUCUUGAGGAUUUUUUUUUUUUUUUUGGUGAAGGCUGGAAUUGUAGAUUAUUCGGAGAAGUGGCAGGCAGGUAUUCUCUUUUCUUCAGGCAUUGCUAUUAGCAUGUCCAGAGUUAACCUCUGUCUAGGCAUUGCUUCCCAAGUAGCAUUCACUGGGUUAUGGGUCAGAAAUGUACCUGGGAUGGUGUGUAGGUACUGUAAAAUGUUCCUUACUCUGGGGGUGCUGGCUUUCAUCAAGUGAACUUUGUUGUCACUCCAGUGGUAGUUAUAUCCAAGAAUGAACACACAGCAUUUACCCCGAUUUAUAUCCAGCAUUCUUGAGCUGUUUCAUGGCACAGCUCACCCAUUAAUAGAUGACUUUUUGUCCUCUUCACCGCAGCAGUUUCUUAGGAGCAGCCACACCGAUUGCUUGCAUUGAAAGUAGCUUUAGAAAAUUGGUCCAUAUACUUUUAGCUGUCAUUUGAAACUGUUUAGCAGUUGGAAACAAACAGGAAUGUCAGCAACAUGUGACUAGGCAGCUCCACAAAAUUACAUAUUGAGAAACACUUAGACUAUGCUUACAGUUAUCCACUUGGGAUGUAAUGCCCUUUGAAGAGUGCUUCUUUGGAUGGAGACUAGGGAAGGAAGGAAUGCAGUGCUAGAGAAACCCCACCCACAAAUGGGAGGAUAAAUUUGGAUCUUUUUGAUAGGAUUAGAAUAGAAGACUGUGAUUUUAAAGUGGUAAUUCUGUAGAUACAGUAACUCAGGGAUUUUUCAAAAUAUAAUUAUGACGGUAUUUCUCUAUUUAAAUGUGGAUGUGGGAGAAGGAGAAAUGUUGGAUUUCAUAUAUUCCUCUGCUUGUAGCCUGACUGAAUAUUUAAUGUAGUGUUACUCCAGUGCAGCACUGUAUUAAAUCAUCAAAAAGAUUUCCAUUUAUGUGGGAAAAUGUAACUCACUCUUGGCUUUCAUUUCUCAAUUUGCUCAUUCCACGAGGCUGGGUUGCUACUUAACUAAAUAAACAGAAAAUAACCCAGGGACCGUCCACUUCAGCUAAUCCAAGGUUCACGUUUCAGCAGGCAGUGCUGGUUACUUGCCAGCCUCCUUUUAGUUUCACUAGGGGUCUCAAUGCAUUAAUUUGCAUCUGGCAAAUUUUUUGUAUCUGUUCACAGUGCUGGGGUGGCAAAGUUAAAGAAAAAGCUCAGUGAAAAGUCAUUUGGUUUCUGUGUAGUUCAUAUUAACAUUGUUUUCUGCAUUUGCUGCUCUUGUCAGUUCCCCCACCUUUGUCUGUGCAUCUGUGAUAUUAUUUGGCCUUUGAUUGCUGGCAGCACAUUGGCACAUGGAAGAGUCUAGACCAGGGAAAGACUCAUGCCAAGUGACAUACAUGCUUACACGUUCGCUUCAUGCAUUUGCUGCUGAAGCUGGGUCAGUAUUCUCAUAGUAUCUGUUCAUUGAAAGUAAAGCAUGCCAUAUCUUAGAACUGCAGAACAGGUGGAGCACUUUGCCACUUCUUUCUUCAUUGCUUCCCUUGGAAAAAAACAUCUGCACCAGCCUUUUAAGAAAUGUGUGUGGGUCUUAUAUACAAAGAUUCUUCAAAUAGGUGGGGCAAAAGCCACUUGGUACCUAUUACAAGAUGUGCUCUUUCCGUUCAAAUUGGUGAGAAACUCAUUAUGUCUUUGAAAAACUGUUUGCAGUAGUAAAAACUGUUCCUGCAUUGCUUUGACUACGUGAAAGCCCCACUGAAAUCUGUGGGAGUCACAAUGUUCCAGGAAAAGUCAAGUCCCUUCGUGUCUUUGUUAAGUUACAAGACAUUUCACAAUCCCAUCCUAGGGAAUAGUCUUUGUCUGCUAUUUAUAAUGAAAUUGAUUCUCACAUCCAAAGAUUUCUGCCAAGAUACUUCAUUUAUACCUAAUUGUUUCAGUGCUACAAGUCCAGCACUGAAUUUAAACCCAACACAAAAAUAAGGAGCAUUCUCAUUACAGGUUUUUCCCAUGUUUUUUUCUGAGAUAUAGCUGAUUUCCAUUUCUUUCUUAAAGCACACGGAAUUUCAGACUUUAUGCCACUUUUUAAAGUAGGAGUAAUAUCAAUUUCUAAUUUGUUUUCCGUCACUCCCAGGGUCACUAGUUUUUCAGAAGCAGACACGCAGAAGAGUAGACUUUUCAUCUGAAAGCUGAGGCAUCAGCAUGUGAACAAAUUUAUUCUGGUGACUUGCCUGGAUUUUCUUUGCUUCCUUGCCUUCACUUGUGUUAUUGCAGCCUUGUUGUAGCAACACAGGAACAGUUGCACAAAUCCCCAUAACUAUAGGCAACAUUAAACCUCGCCUCUAACAUUCACUUCUCUUUUUAUAUUUAAAAAGGCUCUGAGCUUUAGGACCUGGCUCAGAAGAAUCAUUUUGUGGAGACAUAAAGGUAUAACUGUUUCUCAUCUUUCUAAUUUCCAUUCAGCUCUUUUUAUUGCUGCAUUUGAAUUAAUUUACAGAAGGAUAAAUAAGAGCACUUUAUAAAAAUGUACUGUAAUAUUAUUCUGUUAUGAGCCUGAAGAGUAUCUUGAUUUUAUUACUGUGACUUUUAAGGCCACAAUUUAGAUAUUUUUCGUAUUAGCCAUUAUGAUAGGUGUAUAGUCCAUUGGGACAGUUCACUUCAGCUAUAAUUCACCAUAUAAGAUUAUGUAGAAGUUCCUGUUCCCAGCAGAAAGCAUUCUUGGAAAGAAAAGUUAUUUUCUUCUCUCAAAUAAUAUUGGUGACUUUGAAAGGAAAAUAUUAACCCAGUUUCCUUUGUCUAAAGAAUAGUAUAGAGAGUGUAGUUUCAAGUAGUAAAAAGAACAAAGGAUUUACAGUAGUGAAGUGUCAAAGAAGGCAGUCAAGGUGUAAAUGACUUUUUCAGCUUUGCAAUGCUGUUUUUGAAAAUGUUGCGUUCUUGCUCCUGAUUUUCCUGAAACAAUGUAUUUGGUGCAUAUUCCUUCCAAAGUCAUCAGUCUUUCUUCCCCCAUGGGCCCCAAGGCUUUAUCUCCCCCCAGACAAUGACAGACCUGGGGCAGGGCUCCUGGAGAAGCCCCCAGCAGCAGUGCCUGCUACAGGCUCUACAGUGAGUGCCUCCCUCAGUUUUUCCUCCUGGUCAUACUUUAUGUUCAAUGGAAAUCUGCUGCUAUGAGUGAGUCAAACCGCUGCUGAUGUCCAGGUAAUUCUUUUACUUCUCUUUUGAGUGGCCUCCCUGGCACAAGGCUCUGAGGAACUGUCCCUCACAGGUGCCCACCAUCCCAGAGACAUCUUCUCCUGUUUAGGGGAAACCCAGUGACUUCCCACUAACAGUUAAUAUAAAUGUAACAGAAAAAGUGGUUAUGCAGUUGCAACUAUGAGUCUUACAAAUGAACCAGGUUACAAACAUUGGAAAAGCACAGAGCACGACUGAGCCACUGAGUAGGUCUCUAUUAGUCCAGGAUGGAAAUAACCAACAGCCUAUGCAAGAUCUGGGGAGACAAGAAGACUUGUGAGAUUUCUCACUUAACCCAACCUUUGAUCUCCUUUCAUUCCUAACUCCCUCCUGCUGCAGAGCCAAUGCUGAUCGAUGCUAGAGCAUCCAGUGCUUCUACUCAACAUUCAGGAGUCCUGCCACUGUUUUUAAUGAUGCCCUGUGGCACACACCAUUGCACAAAGGGAAGCUGUCAUAGGCAGCAUCAUACAGCCUGGAUUGUCUUGUACCUGUAUAUUGCUUUGUACAUAAAUAGUGUAGUCUGCUGGAAUUUUUGUUAUUCUUUUCCAUUCUUUAUUUGUUAUUCUUUUCCAUUCAUUUUUUCUACAGUUUUUCGAAGACCGUAAGCAAACUGUGCUUGCAUAUUGAUUUUGCAGUCAGUGUUGUAGGUUAUAGCAUUUCCAUGUAGGCAUUUUUCAUGGACUUGUGAGUUCUUGUGUACUACAGGUUGUCCUAUAUACUUAAAGACAACUGCAUACACUUCCAUCCAGUAUAUCCUGCUCCUUUCUUAAAUAUAUCUUAUUUCCUAUGAUCCGGUAUGAACUCUUGCUUGUAGAAUGCAUCAGAAAAAGCUGAAUAUGUAUUUAUAGUGUUAAAUAUUGUGUGCUCAACACUGAUUUAAUUAAGAAUAAUACAGGUUUUAGGGGUUUGUACUUGUUCUCUGGAAACUACAGUGUAGACUGAAUUAAAUUACCUAGUAUCUGUAAUUUACAGACACACAAAUAUUUUCUUAGAAUGUUUUCUAUGGGAUCAUAUUAGGUAGGGAAAUAAUCCUUUAAAUGUGAUCUAUACCUUAGAACAAAAUCAAUUUUCUUAUGACCUUUAGGAUCAAUGAAAUAUUUUUGUGUUAUGUUUGGUGAUGAAUUAUAGACAAAGCACAAAAUGCAAGAAGCAAAUAGGAAUUUCAAGAUGUCCUUAAAUGCUGCAGUUCAUCAUGGAACAAUACUAUAAUAAUCUGAGCAAUCUUCUAGAUUGACUGUCUUGGGCAAUCGUCCCUCACUUUUAUAAUUUUUCCUGGUGUUACCUUUGCCAAAUCCUGCAGUUCUUCCUUAGGACCUGUUAAUGUAUAACUGACUGGCUCAGAACGCAGUUUAUAGAAAAUAGACCUGGGUAGGCAAAAAGAAUAUGUUGUCAGCCCCCAUCCAUCUUGCUACAAUACAGUGUGUGUGAGUUCAGCCUGUGGAAAAAGUUCAGGAUUUUGCCACCUAAUUUUGCCUUCUUGAAAAAGGACCAACAGAACCACCAUGGGACCAAUGUAACUGGGUAGCAUCCAUGCAAAUACCUCCUGUUUUCUUAAGUAUUUUUAAGAGAAUAACCACUAUAUUUUUCAACCCAAAUGACAGUUACUUCUCAUUUUGGUAAUUUCUUCCCAUUAGGCAAAUACCUGUUGGCAUUAAGGUCAUGGCUAUAAUAAUUUCAACUUAAUUAAUAAACAAAUGUUUCUAGAGGAAUAAAAAUAAAAUAAUAUGAGUAUUCAUAACAACUAUAUAACAAAAAAAAAAUCUUCUAUGGCCUACUAGCUCUUUGACUGUAAUUCAAAACAAAGAGAACAUUGAAUAGGAAGGACUGCUGUCCCAGUGUGACUGAUACUGGGUAUCUCUUCAGCUAUUCAGAAAUCUGUGGGGCCAUGUUAUUCUGCUGAGGUUUUGGAGCCUAAGUUUCUAGUAGAUAUAUAUGUAGGAAGUGUGUUGAUAUACCCUUGUAUUUUGAUCUAUAUUGUAUUUUAAAUCAGAUGUAACAGGUAUUAACUUAAUAGGAAUUGCAGGUAGAAUAGUGCUGAGUUACUAAUAGCUGUAAAACCUUAUUGAUACCAGUUUUGACAUUUUGUUGAAGCAUGAUGUCCAGUGCCUCUCUGCACUUAGUGUAGAUAAUGUAGCUAUCAACACGUAAUUUCAGUGAAAUGGUGUAUACAGUAUGUGUAGCUGUGCUUUAAAUUAAUUUAAUUGGUAUCCGUGUGUUGAGCCAUAGUAGAAAAUUAGACUGUGUUUUAAAAUGUUGUUUGACUUUCUGUUUUUCAUUUGUAUCUGGGUUUGUUUCUUUUUGACCUUUCAACUGAUUAGAUUCCACAGCGUAGUAACUACUUUAUCUGUCUCUUAUGGAGUACCCAGUUUUAAUAACAUUCAGAAUCAUGUAUGCAGCCAGCUCAUUGUAAAUAUGUUAAUUUUAGUUUUCAGUAUCUAACCAGUAUGGUGGGUGUUAGAAGCUGCAUGUGUGUAGUUCCCUGGCAGUGAGUGAAAGUGAUCCUAGCAUAGAUUUGCUGCCUGGUGAAUACACUUGUUAUGACCUAAAGAAUUAAUGUUCAACUGGAAUGAUAAGUUUCUGUUUUAUUUUCUUCUUGUUUGCUUCAAAUGUUUGGACUCUUUACGACCAGAAUCUUAGUAAGUCACCAUUUCAAUUGGCACAGUGAAUGAGGGGAAGUCCAUCUAACUGCAUUCCUGUUGGAUGCCCAGACUGCUUUUGGCUCUGUGCAUCAUUCAGCCCUUAGUCACUCAUGGCAUCACAGGAUCCCUCUGAGUCACUUCCAGUUACUCCUUGACCACAGAUGCCAGGAAAGCAGGGCAGUCCCUGCUGUGACUGGGCAGGCCUGCAGGCAGCAAGGGGCUGCCAGUUCUCUCCAGAGUGCCUGAGGAGUCCAAGUAGGAGCCUCUGCUUCAUCCCCUUAGCAGGAACAGUCUCUGAGAAAGAUGAAUACUCAUGGGCAAAGGGGCACUGUUUCUUUCAUUUUUAAAAAGGGAUAUUAGCAUUUAUUGUAAAAUAAAUGCCAAACUAAAUACUUCUAAAGCUACUGUAGUUGUUGUACGGGCCUGUUAUUUACAAAAGUCUAGUCAUAAAAAAAGACAGAUCAACUAUGUAGUCAGUGGCAAAAAUCUUCUGAAAUCAGAGCUACAGUUCAGAUCUGUGAGAAAAUAGAACCUUGCAGCAACAGGAAGCUGAUCCAUUCCUAGAUACUCUGGACCUGGAUCAUAUAAUCAUCCCCUCUAGGCAGAAAGAAAUAAAAAUUAGGCCCCAAAGCACAGAAACUAUCCUGCUUGGUGAGCCCCACUAUGAUGCUUCAGGAUGAAUUGCACACUGGAGUACUCUGUGCUGCCUGCUCAUUAUCCCUUCCCCUUCUUUAAGGUGACCAGGCAUGAACUGGAAUGUUUUGAGAUGUUCUAUUGUAAAAAGGAUUAAAAAGAGGGAUAAGGUUGGUCUUUACACUCAGAAAGUUCCCGAGAUUUUGAAAUUAUGUACUGUACAGUAUCUAUAGCACAGUUUGUUUAGAAAUCAAUAAAUGCAGAUGGCAAAAUUUCUCCCAACCCUGGGCUCUGUUCUUGUAUAUUGUAGUUGGAAUGCCCUGUAGACUGAUUCUAUUUUUGUAGUUCAGAUCCUUUCCUCUUUACAAGGAUUGUUACUCAUUUGCUUUUAAUGCUUUCUUACAGAGUGAACUGAUUUCUGUAACUUUCAUGUAUAAAACAAACUAGACAUUCUUUCUAUACUGGAAAUAGUCAUGAAUAUAAUAUUUCACUAAGUGUUAUACCUCUUAUGUACAUAUCAUCAAUAAAUGUUGAUUCAUAAUUUU